CAGGGCAGCAGGCGCAGCAGCCACCGCGAGGUGAUUCCCCGCAUCUGCGGGACCGACUUGGUCGUGGUCGCCAGAUUCCGGGCGGCCGAUGUACCGAGACUGAGCUGCGGUUGUG
rnacentral:antisense_RNA from 1 species